rnacentral:rRNA from 1 species
UCAGUUCGGAUUGUAGUCUGCAACUCGACUACAUGAAGCUGGAAUCGCUAGUAAUCGCGAAUCAGAAUGUCGCGGUGAAUACGUUCCCGGGUCUUGUACACACCGCCCGUCACACCAUGGGAGUCGGGAAUGCCCGAAGUCCGUAGUCUAACCGUAAGGAGGACGCGGCCGAAGGUGGGUUUGGUAAUUGGGGUGAAGUCGUAACAAGGUAGC